CAAAGUUCUUGAGGGGUAACGGCCGGCGGGGCCCUGAGUGGCCUCGUACUGCCAGCCCCCGCUGGAAGCACCGGAAGGUGUCUGACAGUGCAACCCUUUGUGAAACCCUUUUGUCGCUUCGGCUGCCCUCCCUUCCCGGAGCGGCCGGCAGCAUCAAGGAAACUCUCUUCUUACCACACCUUUUGUCUGAACAGCAUAGUCGAAUGACCAUA
rnacentral:misc_RNA from 1 species